rnacentral:rRNA from 1 species
UACGUAGGGUGCAAGCGUUAUCCGGAAUUAUUGGGCGUAAAGAGCUCGUAGGCGGUUUGUCACGUCUGCUGUGAAAACUGGAGGCUCAACCUCCAGCCUGCAGUGGGUACGGGCAGACUAGAGUGCGGUAGGGGAGAUUGGAAUUCCUGGUGUAGCGGUGGAAUGCGCAGAUAUCAGGAGGAACACCGAAGGCGAAGGCAGAUCUCUGGGCCGUAACUGACGCUGAGGAGCGAAAGCAUGGGGAGCGAACAGG